UUAAAUCUGAAAGCUGCACUUGGAACAAUGCCAGAUGACUCUGAUGAACAAACUGCAGAAUUCAGAUUCCAAUGAGCUGGAGCAAGAAAUGCUCUGGGGAAACUCUGAGCCUCACUUCAGUGGCUCCUUGGGACUCAGUUUGAAGGUGUAUCUGUCAAAAGAAAUGCACCAGGAAAGUCUGUCUCUCAACAGGAGGGUGGCUACAGGUUUCAUUGUCCUGUUUUGUCACCUGCAAGAGAGCAUGAAAACAAAGUAACUUGCAGCCUGAUACCAGCUGCUUCCCAUGGAAGCCUUUCUGAGAGUACUACAACUCCUAGUUCCUGACCUUGCUGCCAUUUGCUCACAUCUCUUUGACACUAGUGUCACAGCUUGCUGAACCCUGAAAUGUCAUUAAAUCUUUGUACAAUGAUCUCUACAUGUUUUCUACUGAAACUGGACCAUUGCUCAAGAAUGGCAAAAUUCAUGGGGCCACAAGGAUAGGACAGAGAUGUGCAGUUCAAGCACUUGGCUGGAAGCAGGAGACGGGCUCCUUCUGAGGCAUUAAUUGAUUAAGGCUCUGCCUGCUCUUAAGAAUGGAUGCUUUUAUCCUCAGUUUAUCCAGGGGGAUAUUGAAACAUAUCCAAGUCAAGUAACAAGCUCAAGGUCACAGGAGGGAGGUGAAAGAAACUGGGAAUCAAACCUUCACAUCUGGAUCUGCAGUGCUGCAAUCUCUGCACUCCAUUGUGCUCAUCAUCCUGUGUGUGCAUGCAGGGCUGAAUCCAGCAAGUUUUAGUGAAGCCUUGCAGUGCAAUAUAAUUAAUUUGUUACGAAUGCCUAUAAAUAAAAUAAACUCUGAAAUGAUCCACA